GACGAACGCUGGCGGCGUGCUUAACACAUGCAAGUCGAACGGAAAGGCCCUGCUUUUGUGGGGUGCUCGAGUGGCGAACGGGUGAGUAACACGUGAGUAACCUGCCCUUGACUUUGUGAUAACUUCAGGAAACUGGGGCUAAUACCGGAUAGGAGCUCCUGCUGCAUGGUGGGGGUUGGAAAGUUUCGGCGGUUGGGGAUGGACUCGCGGCUUAUCAGCUUGUUGGUGGGGUAGUGGCUUACCAAGGCUUUGACGGGUAGCCGGCCUGGGCGGGUGACCGGCCACAUUGGUACUGAGAUACGGAGCAGACGCCUACGGGAGGCAGCAGUGGGGAAUAUUGCACAAUGGGCGGAAGCCUGAUGCAGCAACGCUGCGUUCGGGAUGACGGCCUUCGGGGGGUAAACCGCUUUCGCCUGUGACGAAGCGUGAGUGACGGUAAUGGGUAAAGAAGCACCGGCUAACUACGUG
rnacentral:rRNA from 1 species